GUGGGGAAUAUUGGACAAUGGGCGCAAGCCUGAUCCAGCAAUGCCGCGUGGGUGAAGAAGGUCUUCGGAUCGUAAAGCCCUUUCGACAGGGACGAUGAUGACGGUACCUGUAGAAGAAGCCCCGGCUAACUUCGUGCCAGCAGCCGCGGUAAUACGAAGGGGGCUAGCGUUACUCGGAAUUACUGGGCGUAAAGGGCGCGUAGGCGGCUCUGUUAGUCAGGCGUGAAAUUGCUGGGCUUAACCUGGGGACUGCGCUUGAUACAGCAGGGCUUGAGGACGAGGAAGGGUGGUGGAAUUGCCAGUGUAGAGGUGAAAUUCGUAGAUAUUGGGAAGAACACCGGUGGCGAAGGCGACCACCUGGCUCGGUUCUGACGCUGAGGCGCGACAGCGUGGGGAGCAAACAGGAUUAGAUACCCCUGUAGUCC
rnacentral:rRNA from 1 species